GGGGAAAAAAAAAUGAGCUCCGAGGGCGUUUCUUUCUACAGGUCAAAAAGGGGCCAUAGACCUUUGGGCCACGUAGCCACCUCUGCUAGCCGCCCUGGAUGCAGGCGAGCGAAGGGCAGUGGGUCUUUAAGCAAUGAACUGGGAGGUCUCGACGGUAGCACCCUGAGAAACGGUGUCUGGAUUUGCUCACUGAUGGGUUCUCAGGUCAUGAGUUUUAUGCUUCACUCAGAGAAAGAAAAUCCCAAAGGAAGUUUAAUGCACUUCACUGAGACUGAGAAGCAUUCCUUCCACUCCUGCCCCCCAUGGUCCAGAGCUUCUCCCCAGCUAGGAUCUCUGAUGUUAAUGAGGAAUACAGGUAGAACCAAGCUCAGAGCAAAUGCAUUACGGCACAGCCUUUCAGGAGAGGAGGAGCCCUGACGUCCAACCUUGCAUUUCCUCCUGUCUGCUUCAUCCUGUGCCCCCAGGCCCCUACCAUUACUUUCAGGAGUACUGAAGAGGACACUAAGGCCUAGAGAGGGGAAAUGAUUUGUCCUCUGAGUCCUACCUCUACUCAGUGGCAGCAGAGUGGGGUCUGCACCAGCAUCCCUGGGGGCCACUAAGGGAGGCAACAUUUAAAACACAUUUCCAGGCAAUUUGUAGCAACGCCACAGUUGACAGCCGUGGCCAUGGGCAUCAGUAGGGACUUGAGCACCCUCCAGUGCAGCCUCUUUCUGCCUUUGCUCUCCGAGUGGCUUGGGAAGCCUGGGCUUCCCAAAAAGCAGUAGUAGUGGCCAAGGGCAGUUGGCAAACCCAGUAUCCUCUCCUGUUUACCGAUUGUGCAAGUGCCCUCAAGGCAUCCCAGGCUGGCACGAGUCAGGCCAUGAACAGAACCUCAGAAAACACAGGCAAGAAGCAAGGUGGUCCUGUCCUUGAGGAUCUAGGUCAGGAGCCUAAGGGGUCCCCAACUGAAGCUACCACAUAGAGCCCCAAGAGCAGGAACCCACAGGGAAACCAAGCAAAUCAUUUAGGUCUGGAGGGAGGAAGUGAGGGAGGUUCACUUGGCUUUAAUGUGGCAGCCCGCAGACUGGACACCCUGGAUUGGAUUGGCACUUUGACCAUUUACCAGCCAAGUGGCCAUGAAGCACUCACUUCUCUGGCUUUGUGGGGUAAAAGGGACAAGAACCUCUACUGCAGAGGCCAAUGGGACACUUGAGAAAAUGGCAUUGUUAGUAAGCAAGUAUCUGCUUUUUAAGAACUACUGGGGCACAUAGGCUUCGUGACGGGCCUUACAGCAUUUGGGGUAGCAUUUGGGGUAGGUGAAGCAACCUCCUUUCUCCCUCCUGAAAACAGCAUGCUGUCUGGACUGGUAGGGCUGGUGCCCUCUCCCUGCUCCGGAGGGCUGUGGGGAUGGCAGCACAAGUCUACACGCAGGCCCAAGAGAGGUCUAUUGCAGACCUGGCCUUUCUGCAGGGCCUCAGCCUGGUCCAUGUAUCCAGGCAACCAGACCUCAGCUAAGGCAUCAAAACCCACUGUUUACUAAUAUGGCUCUGAAAGGGGUGAGUGGGCACAGGUGAGCUCCUGGAACGCUCCCCCUUAUCUUUAGAGUCUUCUGGAUCCUUCCAAGCCCCCAGUUUUCUGCCAGUCUUCUGGCCUGGGACUGAACUGAAAAACCCUCUGAGCCCAGGAGUCAGGGUGAGGGCCUUGUUUGCUUAGUCAAUCACGGGUCUGGCCUAGAUGGCCUCCAGCAGCAGGGGAAGUGUGCUAGGGGUUACUGAUUACCCAUGCCUACAUCUUCAGGCCCUGGGCCGCUAGCAGUGAGCCCCACUCCCUCCUCGAAGCCACAGCCCUCAAAACACCUGUCCUAAUAGGCUGGGGCCAGGCGUGGUUUGCUUAGUAAAUCUUCCCAGGUCUAGCAGUUCCUGGGAGCACAAGCUAGUAAACGACGCUGAGAUCUCCCCGCCCCCCGCCUAGGGGGAAGGUCAGUCUGGAGGAGCGACGUCCCAAGCCAUCAUGUCUCCUUUGCAAGGCACAGGCCUCCAAUGCCGGCAGGGCGGGUUCUGAAGCCGGAGACAGCAUCGAGGUGGUCCACACAGGACUGUGGUUUGGACAGAGCAUCACAUCCCGGGAGAUGUGCUGGCCCCUUUGUAGUUGUCUGCAAGGCCUGCAGCUUUCCUGAGAGGCAGAUACUCGCCGUAGCCACCAUUACAGAUGGGAAAACUGGAUUCAGAUGGGAAACCAGAGGCUUAGUAAUUUGCUCAAGGACCCACAGCCAGCUGGGUUUAAACCUAGAAAACCCUGAUUAAUGUGCCAUCUCUACACUCAGAAAAGAGGAGCCAGUGGUCAAAAUCCUUAGACAAAGAAAUGAAGACAUGGAGACUUGGCAUCUCGGCCUUGAGAUGUUUUAGGGACCAUUCAGGGAACUUCCCAUCCAUUCACCCCAACUAUGGCCCAGACUACUCCAUGGAAAAGUUCUCUCCUGGAACUCAGCCAUGGAGGAUCAACUUGACCUUAUCCAAGAUGGGAGGAUUUCCUGGCGCACUGUUCCAGUCCAGGAUGGGAGAGAGAAGAAUGGACUAAAUGGGAUUAUGCACAACCAAGACCCAUCUGGAUCCAGAGCUCCUGGGAGGAAGGGCUUGUUCUAGGCAAAGGAAUGUGAGCAGAAGGAUAAUCUUCAAGCCAUGAGAUGGGGAAGCCACAAGAUGGAAGGAACCCAUGUCCCGAGUAACGGCGUGGAGGAGAGACAUUCAGGAAAGCGGCCUGACACAGACUUCGCUUAAGUGAGAAAUAAACGUAACUGUGCAAAGCCACGGA